CGAUCACCUCCUCCCAUCCUCUCGUUCUUCCUCCCUUCUUUCCCCCGGUCUGCUGCCGUGCACACAGUCGCGUCUGGAUUUUCACAGACAGAUUGGAAUACGGCGCAGUGCUCGCGAAGCGGAGCUCGGUGGUCUGUGUUUUUUCCGGCCGACACAUCUCCCCGUGUUUAAGCCCACGAAGCCAGUUGUGCCAACUAGUUAAAUAUGCUUCGGAGUACUCGAGACACGGUGUCUUGCAAGUUUCGCAUGCUGGGAUUGAAGAGCUCCAUGAGCGCGAUGCCUGCCGCCUGGUGCUCCGCAUCAAUUCCGUGUGUAUGAGUCCGUGCGUAUGAGGCGAACGGCCCUGUCGCAACUGCGUCGCUGGGUGCCGAACGAUACGCGAGGGAUGCGAAGCAGAUGACGUCAUAACGACAUCCCCUGGACCCGGAAUGUAGAAGCACCUAGCAAGCCGUGAUCGCGUGGGAAGUCGUCUUUCGUGUUUAGAGAUUAAAUUUUGAAUAAAUGACAAGUUUAAAAGAUUUCAUAAAAGCGACGUGUACGCCCCUUUCUUGGGUCUCU
rnacentral:lncRNA from 1 species